rnacentral:tRNA from 3 species
CGUUGGUCAAGGGGUUAAGACACCGCCUUUUCACGGCGGUAACACGGGUUCGAAUCCCGUACGGACUA